rnacentral:rRNA from 1 species
UACGAAGGGUGCAAACGUUGCUCGGAAUUAUUGGGCGUAAAGCGCACGUAGGCGGCUUGGCAAGUCGGAUGUGAAAUCCCUCGGCUCAACCGGGGAACUGCGUCUGAUACUGGGUGGCUUGAAUCCGGGAGAGGGAUGCGGAAUUCCAGGUGUAGCGGUGAAAUGCGUAGAUAUCUGGAGGAACACCGGUGGCGAAGGCGGCAUCCUGGACCGGCAUUGACGCUGAGGCGCGAAAGCCAGGGGAGCAAACGGG